rnacentral:tRNA from 1 species
CUAUUUUGGCAGAAAGAGUAUCAAAGUGUAAUAGAUUUAGAAUCUAUAAAUAUAAUUAAUAAUUAUAAGUAGUAU